rnacentral:misc_RNA from 1 species
GUUUACCCAUACCGAGAGCUGUGUUGAUAUUUGUUUAUCACGGCCGGCUGCUGGGUGGGAGCGUAAUAUAAUAUCUGGGUCUCCAUUAUCUUUCAUUCAAGAUGCUGAGCAUCAUUGCCAUUAUAACUACCCUUGCCUUGGUAUACCCGUCUGAUGGUUAUAUGAUUACUGUUGACGCGCAUGCUGAGGAAUGCUUCAUGGAGAAAGUAACAUCUGGUACAAAGCUUGGUCUCGCAUUUGAGGUGGUGGAGGGUGGCUUUUUGGACAUUGACAUCAAGCUGAUUGGGCCCGACGGCAAGGUGGUGUACCAGCAGGAGCGGGAGAGCAAUGGCAGGUUCACCUUCCCGGCUCACAUGGACGGCGUGUUCACCUAUUGCUUCGGCAACAAGAUGUCCACCAUGACGCCGAAGAUCGUCAUGUUCUCCAUGGACCUCGGGGAGGCGUCUAAGAAAGACGGAGUCGACGGCGAAGCGAGCCACAACAAGCUCGAGGACAUGAUCAAGGACCUGGGGUCGGCGCUGACGGCCGUCAAGCACGAGCAAGACUACAUGGAGGUGCGCGAGAAGAUCCACCGCGCCAUCAACGACAGCACAAACUCGCGCGUCGUGCUCUGGUCCUUUUUCGAGGCGCUCGUGUUGGUGGCCAUGACCAUGGGCCAGGUGUACUACCUCAAGCGGUUCUUCGAGGUGCGGCGAGUGGUGUGAGCCGGCGCGGAGGACCGUCCAAAGCCUCGAUCGGGAACUGUCGCUGUCCGCCGGUACCGCGGCGGCGGCGGCGGCGGCACGGGAGAGACUGAGACAGAGGGUGUCCGGUGGUGCCGACGGAGGGCGGGCUGCUGUGUGGCCGGGGAGCCAUGGUCAGUGGCUGGGGAGGACAGGGGCACCGUCUUUCUGCACGUUGUGCGGUUAUUUAGCGGCGAUGUCAGAAAGUUGAGUUGGUUGCGCGGUCACGAUGGGGGCGAGCUUGUUAGUGAACAAACGUUGGCUGGGUGCUUGCGUUUUGAUCUGAGCGAUGAUUCUAUACGGCUGGCACAGCUGGCCAUUUAUCUAAUUUCAAAUCCAGGCCAUAAACAUUUCUGGACGAUCAUUGUUGAAUUGCAAUUCGUGUGCGCACCAAAGUUCCAAUACAUAUGACCAUUUUUAA